GCAGCCGACGCCGAGAGGCACCGUUUCUUCUUAAAAGAGAAACGCUGCGCGCGCGAGGUGGGCCCCGGUCUUCCAGCAGCUCCGGGCUUGCUCGCUAGGCCCGGGAGGCGCAGGCGCAGGCGCAGUGGGGGUGAGGGCGCGUGGGGGCGCACAGCCUCUGGUGCACAUGGCUUCCUCCCCGGCGGUGGACGUGACCUGCAGGCGGCGGGAGAAGCGGCGGCAGCUGGACGCGCGCCGCAGCAAGUGCCGCAUCCGCCUGGGCGGCCACAUGGAGCAGUGGUGCCUCCUCAAGGAGCGGCUGGGCUUCUCCCUGCACUCGCAGCUCGCCAAGUUCCUGUUGGACCGGACGGCCUGUGUGACUUGUGGCCUCCGAGGGUCCUGCUCCCCUCCUCAUGGUCUCAGCGAAUAGCGGCCCUUAGGGCUGGCCCCUUACAUGUGUGAGUGCCCAGGGCUGAGGGUGGCUGGCCACCUGAGUCCUGACCUGCCUCUUCUCCUGCUGGCAGGUACACUUCUUCAGGCUGUGUCCUCUGUGCAGGUAGGUAGGGGAUGGCAGGGGGUGAGAGCCAGAGGGAAGAGGGACCACAGGGUGACCCAGAAACACCCUCCUUUCAAAGGGAGCCCUGAGUAAGUUUGGGAAGGGUGGGGUGAGUUGGGGAGCACAGGGUAGUUUGAUGGCAGCAACCUCUGGGUGGGG
rnacentral:sRNA from 1 species